GACGAGGGGUCCUAGCGUUGUUCGGAAUCACUGGGCGUAAAGCGCAUGUAGGCGGCUUUUCAAGUCAGAUGUGAAAGCCCCUGGCUUAACCAGGGAAUUGCAUUUGAAACUGUAGAGCUUGAGUAUGGGAGAGGAUGGUAGAAUUCCAGGUGUAGUGGUGAAAUACGUAGAUAUCUGGAGGAACACCGGUGGCGAAGGCGGCCAUCUGGCCUAAUACUGACGCUGAGAUGCGAAAGUGCGGGGAUCAAAC
rnacentral:rRNA from 1 species